AUGGCGAAGCGCGGGCCGACUACAGGGACGCUGCUGCCCGGGGUCCUGCUGGCCCUGGUGGUGGCCCUGGCGGACCGAGGGACCGCCGCACCCAACGGCACGCGGCACGCCGAAUUGGGGCACGGCUGGGACGGCCUGGUGGCCCGCUCGCUGGCACGCUUGCCGGUGGCCGCGCAGCCCCCGCAGGCGGCGGUCCGCAGCGGCGCAGGGGACUACCUGCUGGGCCUCAAAAGGCUGCGGAGACUCUACUGCAACGUGGGCAUCGGAUGCAUCGGCGGUGUGCACGCGGACACGAGGGACAGCAGCGGGGUGUGGUGAGCAUCUUCGGAGUGGCCAGCCGGUUCUUCGUGGCCAUGAGCAGCAGGGGCAAGCUCUUCGGUGUGCCUUUCUUUACCGACGAGUGUAAAUUCAAAGAAAUACUUCUCCCCAACAACUACAAUGCCUACGAGUCCUACGCAUACCCGGGCAUGUUCAUGGCCCUCAGUAAGAACGGGCGGACCAAGAAGGGGAACCGAGUUUCGCCGACCAUGAAGGUAACCCACUUCCUUCCUAGACUGUGA
rnacentral:lncRNA from 1 species